AUCCAUCUUCAGUUUUCACAUCACACAGAUACAGACCAGAGUCUUCAGUCCUCAGUCUGGACACAUGGAGUCUGAUUCGUCCUUCUCUGAGGACGUCUUUGUCACUCUGGACUCGUCCUGAAAACUGUUCAUCCUGAGAUUCUGGAAGCUCAAAUCCAUUAUGGACCUGAUAGAGAACUAGUUCUUUAUGAGGAGCCAACAAGCUGCAGUAGAUGAACAGUUCCCUGUAGGAUCCCUGAGUCUUGGUGGUGAAGGUCCACUCCAGAGUGAUGCUGUGGUUCUCCUCUGCCUGAUAGCUGCUCUGUGUCACAUUCACUACAAAUGUUGCUGCUGAGGAGACAGAGAGGGAAAGAGAGGAGCAGACACACUGAGAACUGGAACAUGGGAGUCUUUCAGCUCCAUCUAGAGAGCUUUCUGUCACAAAGACAAGAUGGAGACUGACCACAGAGACAUGAGCUGAGGAUGAGGAGCAGCAGGAU